rnacentral:rRNA from 1 species
UACAGAGGUCUCAAGCGUUGUUCGGAUUUAUUGGGCGUAAAGAGCUCGUAGGCGGUUCGGUAAGUCGGGUGUGAAACCUCCAGGCUCAACCUGGAGAUGCCACCUGAUACUGCUGUGACUCGAGUCCGGUAGGGGAGCGUGGAAUUCCUGGUGUAGCGGUGAAAUGCGCAGAUAUCAGGAGGAACACCAGCGGCGAAGGCGGCGCUCUGGGCCGGAACUGACGCUGAGGAGCGAAAGCGUGGGUAGCAAACAGG